AAUAUUCAACUCAAAGACCAUUUUUUUUGAAAUUGACAAUAAAUGACGUGCUAAAUUUUGAUUCCUCUAAACUUCAUUCAUUCUCCGGAAUUCUCAAGAUUUCAGUUUUCUCUGACUGUUACUUUUCUCUCUUCUCUUCUUCUUCUACUUUUAACUUCUCAUUCUGCCUUUUCUUUUCUGAAUUUCAUGGUAUCUAUUGUGAUUUACUUGUGUUUUAAAAUUUGAUCAUGCUAAUUUCUAGGGUUUCAUGCUUUCCUUUUCGUUCUUGUAUUUGAAUUCCUUCACAUUGUUGUAUAAUGGUAUCUACUGCGUGAAACACUUUUUCUUUUAUACUCUGUAACUUAAUACAAUUAUUUAAAUGUCGAAUUUUAGGUUCUUUUUAGUUUAUUGUUAAUUUGUUAUUUCACUUUUGUGCAUAAUUCUAUUGUUCAUUUAUUUAAUCUCUUGUCGUUCUGAUCUUCAGGUUUUCCCUCUGAAUUGAAUUUGUGUGAAACAAAACUUGGACAUGACGAUUUUUAGUGAAACCAUAUCUGCGGAUGUGCAGCAUAAGGAAGAACAACAUUUUUUUGAGCUCAGGCAGCAAUUGAAAGAGUCUAUUAGAAAGAAAAUGAGAAAGGAAUCUGGUUUUCUUUGGAACACUUCCCGGGAAAACAAGAAAUUACCUAGUGACAACUAUGGAUCUUUCUUUGGCCAAUCUCAACCUUCUACUGCGUGGAGAGUAAUCAAAGAAAGCAAAUUUGUGCUUGAGGCUAGGCAAUCGGCAACAGAUUUUUAGAAUUUGUCUGCUUCAAAAGCUUAAGUGGCAGUGCAGAAAGUGAAAGCUCAGAAACUUAGGGUCUCUCGAGAUUACUCUUUUAUAUUCUCGAUGAUUCUAAGAAUCUCACUUGUCUGUCUGCUGCCUUGGGAAAGGCAACUUAACAACAUCUUAGUUCUUGCAUUCAAGGAGCUAUUUUAAACUCUCUACAAAAGAAGCAUUUGGACGAAGGAAAGAAUAAAUAUGAACCCAAAAAGUCUCAACUGA